rnacentral:sRNA from 1 species
GCCAGGCAUGGUGGUGCACACCUGUAGUCCCAGCUACUCAGGAGGCUGAGGCAGGAGGACCGCUUGGGCCCAGGAGUUCUGGGCUGUCAUGUACUAUGCCGAUUGGGUGUCCUCACUAAGUUCAGCAUCCAGUGUGGUGAUCGCUCAGGAGUGGGGGGCCAUCAGGUUGCCUAAGGAGAGGUGAGCCAGCCCAGGUGGGAACAGCCUAGAGGAAAACAGACCAGCGUGAAGGUAGAAAAGUAGCUUCUAUGUGAAAGGAUUUUAACUUUU